GGCGCGCGGCCUAACGGCGGCGGCGGCGGCGACGGCGACAGCAGCGGUGGUGGUGUCUGGUUAGCUCGGCGGCUGCAGAUCUCGCGGCGACGCCUGCGAGGGACCCGGGCCGCGGGUCGAGGCGGGCGGCGCCUGCGAGGGACCCGUGUCGCGGGUAGAGGCGGGCGGCGCGGCGGCGGCGCUCGGCGAUGGUAGGCGUCCCUGGAGCGGCCGCCUUCCAGCUUGGUCCUGAGAAAAGGGUGCCAGCGAUGCCUGGAUCGCCUGUGGAAGUGAAGAUACAGUCCAGAUCCUCACCUCCCACCAUGCCACCCCUCCCACCAAUAAAUCCUGGAGGACCGAGGCCAGUGUCCUUCACUCCUACUGCAUUAAGCAAUGGCAUCAACCAUUCUCCUCCUACCCUGAAUGGUGCCCCAUCACCGCCACAGAGAUUCAGCAAUGGUCCUGCCUCCUCCACAUCAUCUGCACUCACAAAUCAGCAAUUGCCAGCCACUUGUGGUGCUCGACAACUCAGCAAGUUGAAACGCUUUCUUACCACUCUGCAACAGUUUGGCAAUGACAUCUCCCCUGAGAUUGGGGAGAAGGUGCGGACUCUUGUUCUUGCACUGGUGCAGAGUUGCUGAGUCUCAUUCCUAAUUUGAGGCCUAGACUUUUGGGGAAACACAGAGGACGUCCACCUUUUAGAGAACAGUGAUAACUUACCAAUGGGG
rnacentral:sRNA from 1 species